rnacentral:rRNA from 1 species
GACAGAGGGGGCAAGCGUUGCUCGGAAUUACUGGGCGUAAAGGGCGCGUAGGCGGGAUGGCAAGUCGGUCGUGAAAUCCUUCGGCUCAACCGAAGAACGUCGAUCGAUACUGCUGUUCUUGAGGGUUGCAGAGGAGACUGGAAUUCCCGGUGUAGCGGUGAAAUGUGUAGAGAUCGGGAGGAACACCGGUGGCGAAGGCGGGUCU